UACAGAGGUCCCAAGCGUUGUUCGGAUUCAUUGGGCGUAAAGGGUGCGUAGGUGGCGCGGUAAGUCGGGUGUGAAAUCUCGGAGCUUAACUCCGAAAUUGCAUUCGAUACUGCCGUGCUCGAGGACUGGAGAGGAGACUGGAAUUCAUGGUGUAGCAGUGAAAUGCGUAGAGAUCAUGAGGAAGACCAGUGGCGAAGGCGGGUCUCUGGACAGUUCCUGACACUGAGGCACGAAGGCCAGGGGAGCAAACGGG
rnacentral:rRNA from 1 species